AUUAGACGAAUCAUCUGGAAAGAUGAAUCAAAGAAGGUAAUAAUCCUGUAGUCGAAAAUGUUGUCUCUCUUGAGUGGAUCCUGAGUACGACGGAGCACGUGAAAUUCCGUCGGAAUCUGGGAGGACCAUCUCCUAAGGCUAAAUACUCUCUAGUGACCGAUAGUGAACCAGUACCGUGAGGGAAAGGUGAAAAGCACCCCGGAAGGGGAGUGAAAUAGAACCUGAAACCGUGUGCUUACAAGUAGUCAGAGCCCGUUAAUGGGUGAUGGCGUGCCUUUUGUAGAAUGAACCGGCGAGUUACGAUUUGAUGCAAGGUUAAGCAGUAAAUGUGGAGCCGUAGCGAAAGCGAGUCUGAAUAGGGCGUUUAGUAUUUGGUCGUAGACCCGAAACCAGGUGAUCUACCCUU
rnacentral:rRNA from 1 species